rnacentral:rRNA from 1 species
UACGAAAGGGGCUAGCGAUGAUCGGACUUACUGGGCGGGAAGCGCACGUGGGCGGCCUUGUAAGAUGGGGGUGAAAUCCCCGGGCUCAACCAGGGAACUGCCUUCAUGACUGCAAAGCUAGAGGAUGCGAGAGGUUAGCGGAAUUCCGAGUGUAGAGGUGAAAUUCGUAGAUAUUCGGAAGAACACCAGUGGCGAAGGCGCCUAACUGGCGCAUUUCUGACGCUGAGGCGCGAAAGCGUGGCGAUCAAACAGG